CUAGCUUCCGCUGGUAGAGGAUUUUACACACCAAUGUAAUGAAAUAAUCUUGUGCUGACCACUAUAAUAUACAACUUUCAACAACGGAUCUCUUGGCUCUCGCAUCGAUGAAGAACGCAGCGAAAUGCGAUAAGUAAUGUGAAUUGCACAAUUCAGUGAAUCAUCGAAUCUUUGAACGCACCUUGCACCCUUUGGCAUUCCAAAGGGUAUGCCCGUUUGAGUGCCAUUAUACUCUCACACUCUCUAAUUAGUUAGAGAGCGGUGGAUUUGGAUGUUGCCUGG
rnacentral:misc_RNA from 1 species